GUGGGUUUAGCUCAUCCGGUAGAGCGCCAUCUUCCCAAGGUGGAUGUGGCGAGUUCAAGUCUCGUAACCCGCU
rnacentral:tRNA from 1 species